GACCUCGACUCAUGAUAAUUUCGAGCCCAUGGCCCGCUAGGAGGCGCACGUGAACCAAAAGACUCGAGGAAUCCACUGCCGAAGAAGACAAAGAACAAAAAGGAGCCGACGACGAAGAAGAAGACGACAAGGAUGUGGGCUGCUUGGAUGCGGUGUAGCCUUGUUCGGUUGCGUUUCUUCAACAAUCGUGUUUGAAUUGAAUUGGAUUUAUUGAUAAAUAUAUCUAUUUUUUGGGGGUGGGGGCCAGGGGUUAUCUUUUUCCCCCUUCCGCCGUCAGACUGCUUGACGCGAGAUGGCGAUGGCGGCGGUGGCCGCGGCGCCGCCCGGAGGUGGAAGCGAGCUGCGCAUCCUGGUGAGGAGGUGGCGGGAGGCGGCCUGUCAAUGGGAGGCGCCGGCGGGCGGGACCCGCGAGGUCGCCUGUCAGAGCGACGUCGCCCAGAGUCGAGACGUCGGCGUUCAGGCGGACCUGUUGACUCGCCGACUGUGCUGGAGACGUGCGGGUUUGUCCGGCGCACCCGUUCGGCGCUUAGCCCUGCGACCCACUCGUCAAAACGGCGACGCCGCGGCGCCGCGGAACAGAAGCAAAGCGGUCAGAAACGCCGCCAAAGCCCAGGAGG